CAGCCGCCGCGGUAAAACAGAGGGUGCAAGCGUUAAUCGGAAUUGCUGGGCGUAAAGCGCGCGUAGGUGGUUUGUUAAGUUGGAUGUGAAAUCCCCGGGCUCAACCUGGGAACUGCAUCCAAAACUGGCAAGCUAGAGUAUGGUAGAGGGUGGUGGAAUUUCCUGUGUAGCGGUGAAAUGCGUAGAUAUAGGAAGGAACACCAGUGGCGAAGGCGACCACCUGGACUGAUACUGACACUGAGGUGCGAAAGCGUGGGGAGCAAACAGGAUUAGAUACCCCCGUAGUCCCUGUCUCUUAUAC
rnacentral:rRNA from 1 species